GUGAAUCAUCGAAUCUUUGAACGCAAAUUGCACUCUCUUCGGAGAGUAUGCCUGUUUGAGGGUCAGCCUAUAAAAAAUCGACAUCGUUGCUGUUACGCGGUAACAUUCGUCGGAAAUUGGGUCAUCUUAAACCUUUGGGUUUAAGCGGCUUAAAAUUUUUUUUACGAUUCCAUGAACGUUUCUAAGAUUUUAUUCUUUACUACGUUUAAGUUUUCGAUCUUUAUUAGCCUUGGCAG
rnacentral:misc_RNA from 1 species